GUUUUAAUAGUUUAACCCUAAAACUCUGGUCUUGUAAACCAAAAAUGAAAAUAACUUCUUAAAACU
rnacentral:tRNA from 1 species